ACCUUGUUACAAAGCCUGCUGCCACGUUCUGCCCGCUAAUCUCCACUGCUCAUGGUAGAAUGUCGCUCCAGGACCUUGCUUCAGACAUGGAACCUCUAUACUAUUAUGUAAUGACUCCACCAGAUUGCAUUCCCACCAAUGGUAUAGAAGGAGGCCCUUUUCUCCAUACACUCUCCAGCAUUUGUUACCUGUCAAUUCCCCCAUAACUGGUUAUCUCACCACACAAGCACUACCUCCUUGAGAAAACUGCCACCACGUUCUGCUGGCCAUCCUCUGCUCACAGUGAGAUGUUGUUCUAGGACCUUGCUUCAGACGGUAGGCAGAGACUAUGAAUUGGCCCUAUUUUACUGACAAGGAAACUGAGUCUCCAAGCAAGCUCUGGAGAAAUGAAGCUGGGUAAGAGACAAAGAACUGAGGACACCGGGGCCAGAAGAAAAGCAG